rnacentral:tRNA from 1 species
GGGACUUUAGCUUAAUUAAAGUAUCUGGGUUGCAUUCAGAACAUGUGAGGUUGUCUUGCAAGUCCUA